rnacentral:piRNA from 1 species
UGUCCCAAGUGCUAACUUACGUUUUACCUU